rnacentral:rRNA from 1 species
UGCAAGUCGAACGGCAGCACGGGUGCUUGCACCUGGUGGCGAGUGGCGAACGGGUGAGUAAUACAUCGGAACAUGUCCUGUAGUGGGGGAUAGCCCGGCGAAAGCCGGAUUAAUACCGCAUACGAUCCAUGGAUGAAAGCGGGGGACCUUCGGGCCUCGCGCUAUAGGGUUGGCCGAUGGCUGAUUAGCUAGUUGGUGGGGUAAAGGCCUACCAAGGCGACGAUCAGUAGCUGGUCUGAGAGGACGACCAGCCACACUGGGACUGAGACACGGCCCAGACUCCUACGGGAGGCAGCAGUGGGGAAUUUUGGACAAUGGGCGAAAGCCUGAUCCAGCAAUGCCGCGUGUGUGAAGAAGGCCUUCGGGUUGUAAAGCACUUUUGUCCGGAAAGAAAUCCUUGGCUCUAAUACAGUCGGGGGAUGACGGUACCGGAAGAAUAAGCACCGGCUAACUACGUGCCAGCAGCC